rnacentral:rRNA from 1 species
GAUGAACGCUGGCGGCGUGCCUAAUACAUGCAAGUCGAGCGAACAGACGAGGAGCUUGCUCCUCUGACGUUAGCGGCGGACGGGUGAGUAACACGUGGAUAACCUACCUAUAAGACUGGGAUAACUUCGGGAAACCGGAGCUAAUACCGGAUAAUAUAUUGAACCGCAUGGUUCAAUAGUGAAAGACGGUUUUGCUGUCACUUAUAGAUGGAUCCGCGCCGCAUUAGCUAGUUGGUAAGGUAACGGCUUACCAAGGCAACGAUGCGUAGCCGAACUGAGAGGCUGAUCGGCCACCCUGGAACUGAGACACGGUCCAGACUCCUACGGGAGGCAGCAGUAGGGAAUCUUACGCAAUGGGCGAAAGCUUGACGGAGCAACGCCGCGUGAGUGAUGAAGGUCUUCGGAUCGUAAAACUCUGUUAUUAGGGAAGAACAAAUGUGUAAGUAACUAUGCACGUCUUGACGGUACCUAAUCAGAAAGCCACGGCUAACUACGUG